rnacentral:lncRNA from 1 species
UUUCUACAUGUAAAAUUUCAUGAGCAUUGGAUAAGAAUUGAGCAUUUCACAAUUGAUAUAUCAAGGCAAGGUUCAAAAAGCAUACAUGUUAACAUUCCCUAGCACAAAAAAUUAUACAGCCAUGAACAAUUUGUAAAAUAAUAUUAAAAAAAAACUAGAGACAAAAUGUGACAUAACAAAAAAAACCACAUAUUUUUUGGAUCAAUUUUCUAUUUGUUAUGAUUUUUGAAAGUUAAAGAAAAAU